CCUACGGGAGGCAGCAGUGAGGAAUAUUGGUCAAUGGACGCAAGCCUGAACCAGCCAUGCCGCGUGCAGGAUGACUGCCCUAUGAGUUGUAAACUGCUUUUGUACGGGGGUAAACGCAGAUACGUGUAUCUGUUUGCAAGUAUCGUAUGAAUAAGGAUCGGCUAACUCCGUGCCAGCAGCCGCGGUAAUACGGAGGAUUCAAGCGUUAUCCGGAUUUAUUGGGUUUAAAGGGUGCGUAGGCGGUCGGUUAAGUUAGUGGUGAAAUCCCGAGGCUCAACUUUGGAAUUGCCUUUGAUACUGGUCGGCUAGAGAGUAGUUGCGGUAGGCGGAAUGUAUGGUGUAGCGGUGAAAUGCUUAGAGAUCAUACAGAACACCGAUUGCGAAGGCAGCUUAC
rnacentral:rRNA from 1 species